rnacentral:rRNA from 1 species
AACGUAGGUGGCAAGCGUUAUCCGGAUUCACUGGGCGUAAAGCGCACGCAGGUGGCCUGACAGGUAGGGCAUGAAAUCUCCCGGCUUAACUGGGAGCAGCUGUCCUAAACCGUCGGGCUUGAGGAUAGGAGAGGGGAGUGGAAUUGCCGGUGUAGUGGUGAAAUGCGUAGAGAUCGGCAGGAACACCAGUGGCGAAAGCGGCUCCCUGGCCUACUCCUGACACUCAAGUGCGAAAGCUAGGGGAGCGAACGGG